rnacentral:pre_miRNA from 14 species
GCUUCGGAGUCUGGGGUGGUCUCGAAGAUCCCAGACGAGCCCCCAAAAUGAAAGAUCCACGAAGAGAGACCUUUUCUAAAAUCGUGGGAAAUCACAGACCCCAGACACAGAGAGACCA